AAGAAGAAGAAAAAAAU
rnacentral:sRNA from 1 species